rnacentral:rRNA from 1 species
AACGAACGCUGGCGGCAUGCCUAACACAUGCAAGUCGAACGGGACCGCCGGGCUUAGUGGCGCACGGGUGCGUAACGCGUGGGAACUUGCCCUUAGGUUCGGAAUACUUCCCUGAAAGGGGUGCUAAGACCGGUUAAGCUCAUCGGACCAAAGAUCUACCGCCGUUGGGUGGGCCCGCGUUGGCUUAGCUAGUUGGGAGGGUAAAAGCCUACCAAGGCGACGAUCCAUAGCUGGUCUGGUAGCAAGCUCCGGCACGAUGGGCCUCCGACCCGGCCCAGAAUCCUACGCGAGGGAGGAGUGGAGAAUAUUGGACAAUGGACGAAAGCCUGAUCCAGCCAUGCCGCGUGAGUGAUGAAGGCCUUAGGGAUGUAAAGCUCUUUUACCCGGGAUGAUAAUGACAGUACCGGGAGAAUAAGCACCGGCUAACUCCGUG